AACGCGAAGAACCUUACCUGGGCUCGAAAUGUAGUGGACCGGGGUAGAAAUAUCCCUUUCUAGCAAUAGACUGCUAUAUAGGUGCUGCAUGGCUGUCGUCAGCUCGUGUCGUGAGAUGUUGGGUUAAGUCCCGCAACGAGCGCAACCCUUAUCUUCAGUUGCUACCAUUUAGUUGAGCACUCUGACGAAACCGCCUCGGAUAACGGGGAGGAAGGUGGGGAUGACGUCAAGUCCUCAUGGCCUUUAUGUCCAGGGCUACACACGUGCUACAAUGGCCGGUACAAACCGCUGCAAACCCGCGAGGGGGAGCUAAUCGGAAAAAGCCGGCCUCAGUUCGGAUUGGAGUCUGCAACUCGACUCCAUGAAGCUGGAAUCGCUAGUAAUCGUGGAUCAGCAUGCCACGGUGAAUACGUUCCCGGGCCUUGUACACACCGCUAGUC
rnacentral:rRNA from 1 species